AGAGUGAAGACUCGUACAAAGAAAAUUCACUGUGUAAACAUCCUGCCCAAGAAAGGAAGGUUCGCCCUUACUCCAUCUACAGGAUCUGUUGGAAAAAUGAUUUGUUCUGGCUGAGUCUACAGUGAACAAUUAGAGAAUGGAAACUCACGGAGUGAGCUUAAGCAAAAUCGGCACCCAGAGAAAGAGGUCUUAUUUUUCCUGAAAGAUGACUGCGCCAGUUCACCCACAGCCUGAUAGUUAUCCCAGGGCAAGGUGCACUCCACAGCUCCAGCUACAGAUCAUCUACUUCCUAUAACAAGGUUGAAAUGGAGAAACCCCACGAAGUCAUAUGGACAACUCUUGUUGGAAAUGCUUUUGCAGAUAUCUGAUCAAGGGGAGGAAAAGUCUCACAGCUUUUCAAGCCACAAGUUGUAAGAUCAAGAAUUUUCCUGCUGGAAUGUGACAGCGACACAGAGACAGUCAUGCACGAUCCCUUACAUCCAAG